rnacentral:rRNA from 1 species
AACGAACGCUGGCGGCAUGCCUAACACAUGCAAGUCGAACGAGACCUUCGGGUCUAGUGGCUCACGGGUGCGUAACGCGUUGGAACCUGCCCUUAGGUUCGGAAUAACUCCCCGAAAGGGGUGCUAAUACCGGAUAAUGUCUUCGGACCAAAGAUUUAUCGCCUUUGGAUGGGCCCGCGUUGGAUUAGCUAGUUGGUAGGGUAAAAGCCUACCAAGGCGACGAUCCAUAGCUGGUCUGAGAGGAUGAUCAGCCACACUGGGACUGAGACACGGCCCAGACUCCUACGGGAGGCAGCAGUGGGGAAUAUUGGACAAUGGGCGAAAGCCUGAUCCAGCAAUGCCGCGUGAGUGAUGAAGGCCUUAGGGUUGUAAAGCUCUUUUACCCGGGAUGAUAAUGACAGUACCGGGAGAAUAAGCUCCGGCUAACUCCGUG